AGAAGAUGCCACGAGGAGGCCAGCACUGGGCCCAGGCCCAGGCCCGACAGGUUCCACGCCUGCAUCCUGCAGGGCAGAUGAACACAGAAACUGAUACUGCUUCUGGGGUCAAGACCAGAAGAAACUGGCGACCUCCUCAGGACAUUGUGACUACUUGGAAGGACCUGAAUUUCACAGUCAGGAAGAACCAUCCUCUGAAAACACAUCUGUCUGAAGCCCUACCCAGGCUUUGGAGGCCCUAUAGACUUUGGUCUUGCCAACUCCAUAAGCACAGGUGCCAGUUCCUAAAAUUAACUUAUUAAGCUAUAAACAAGCAAGGAUUAUACCUAAUCAGGCCAUUUGGGAGGUUGAUGCAAGAGGACUAUGAACCAAGACCAACCUAGACUAUGUAUGAUAAGAUAAAUGCAUGACAUAUAUAGCAUUAAUUUGAUCUUCAGAUAAAUAUACAUAGACACGGAUGUAAUUGUCAUAAUAGUCAAUCAUCACUGUCAUCUUGACUGUAUCUAGAAUCACGAUGAAAGCAGACUUCUGGCAGUGCCCAUGAGAGUCAUUCUGAAAGGCUGAACCAAGAGCAAAGACCCACCCUGAAUGUAGACAACUUCACCACCAGGACUAUCUCUCCUGGCUAAAUAAAAAUAAGGAAAUGAGCUGAAUACCACACACAAUCUCUUUGCUUCCUGACUUAAGAUAUCAUGUGAUCAGCUGCUGCAUGCUCUUGCCGCCACGACUUUCCCACCAUAAUGGACUGGACCCUUCACCUGUGAGCCAAAGGAAUCUCUUCCUUCCUUAACUUAAUUUUCCAGGUAUUUAAUCAAUGAGAAGAAAAAAAGUAACUAAUACAGGAAAUUUGUAUGAGGAAUGAGGUCAUUGGUAUGAUAACUUGACCUUGUUAGGAGGAAUUUGGGGCUUAUUUGCUGAAGGAACAUUGGAAGAGUUUGAAAUUCUGUGUUAUAAAAUCCCUAGAUUACUUAUAAGCAGAACUGAAUGGGAUGUUCUGAUUGUGAUGGCUAACAUUAUAAGCUUAAAAUGCUUGAGAGAUCUAUGAAACAAAAGCACCUCUAACCUGGAAGCCCCACUUGCAUUCCUGGAAUGAUGGAGGCUGUUGUUCAUAUAAGAUAACAAACCACAUAUUUUUGCUUCUGUAAAUGAGUUUGGUUGUUCCAGUUGCACAGGAUGUGAUCACACGUAGACAGGAAGUACAUCAGGAUGUGUGCUUGCCUCUGGUUGGUUGGAGAUAGGAAGUGCAUAGCCUUGUAAGUUUUGCCUUUUUAAGUCCCUGAUUUAAUGUAAUGUAAUUUAAUGCAAUGAUUAAUGUAAUUUGGCACAAUACUCUGAGCAUGAGUUUCAGAUAUGGACCUGGCCAAUGUUUAAUAAAGCCUCUUAUUUCUUAAAAUUUA